GUCCAAGGUCAUACCAUCGUGAACACACCUGACCUUUUCUGAUUUCAGAAGCUAAGCAGGGUCAGACCAGGUUAGUACUUGAACGGCAGAAGAGUAGGUCAGAGAGAUGUGAAGGGAGAGGACAUGGCAGGCCUUGGUGG
rfam:Otolemur garnettii contig016969, whole genome shotgun sequence.